GAUGAACGCUGGCGGCGUGCCUCAAACAUGCAAGUCGAGCGAGGCUAUGAAUUACCGCAAGGUAAGGCAUAGCCUAGCGGCGAACGGGUGGGUAACACGUGGGUAACCUACCUGGAAGACAGGGAUAACGAUUCGAAAGGGUCGCUAAUACCUGAUAAUAUCCAUCUGCCGGAUGGCGGAGGGAAGAAAGGGGAAACCCGCUUUCAGAUGGGCCCGCGUCCCAUCAGCUAGUUGGUAAGGUAAAGGCUUACCAAGGCGACGACGGGUAGCCGGUCUGAGAGGAUGUACGGCCACACUGGGACUGAGAUACGGCCCAGACUCCUACGGGAGGCAGCAGUUGGGAAUCUUAGGCAAUGGACGAAAGUCUGACCUAGCGACGCCGCGUGAGGGAAGAAGGCCUUCGGGUUGUAAACCUCUGUCAUGGGGAAGAAGGAAGUGACGGUACCCAACGAGGAAGCCCUGCUAACUACGUG
rnacentral:rRNA from 1 species